UACGGGGGGGGCAAGCGUUGUUCGGAAUUACUGGGCGUAAAGGGUUCGUAGGUGGCCAACUAAGUCAGACGUGAAAUCCCUCAGCUUAACUGGGGAACUGCGUCUGAGACUGGAUGGCUUGAGUGCAGGAGAGGAACGCGGAAUUCCAGGUGUAGCGGUGAAAUGCGUAGAUAUCUGGAGGAACACCGGUGGCGAAGGCGGCGUUUUGGACUGCAACUGACGCUGAGGAACGAAAGCCAGGGGAGCAAACGGG
rnacentral:rRNA from 1 species